rnacentral:rRNA from 1 species
CUACGGGUUGCUCCAGUGGGGAAUAUUGCACAAUGGGCGCAAGCCUGAUGCAGCAACGCCGCGUGAACGAUGAAGGCCUUCGGGUUGUAAAGUUCUUUUCUUAGGGAAGAAUAAAUGACGGUACCUAAGGAAUCAGCCCCGGCUAACUACGUGCCAGCAGCCGCGGUAAUACGUAGGGGGCAAGCGUUAUCCGGAAUCACUGGGCGUAAAGGGAGUGUAGGCGGUCAAGCAAGUCAGGGGUGAAAGGCAUCGGCUCAACCGAUGUAAGCCUUUGAAACUGUUUGACUUGAGUGCAGGAGAGGUAAGUGGAAUUCCUAGUGUAGCGGUGAAAUGCGUAGAUAUUAGGAGGAACACCAGUGGCGAAGGCGACUUACUGGACUGUAACUGACGCUGAGGCUCGAAAGCGUGGGGAGCGAACAGGAUUAGAUACCCGAGUAGUC